UACGUGAGGUGCAAGCGUUGUCCGGAAUUAUUGGGCGUAAAGAGCUCGUAGGCGGUUCGUCGCGUCGGCUGUGAAAUCCCGAGGCUCAACCUCGGGUCUGCAGUCGAUACGGGCAAACUAGAGUGUUGCAGGGGAGACUGGAAUUCCUGGUGUAGCGGUGAAAUGCGCAGAUAUCAGGAAGAACACCCGUGGCGAAGGCGGCUCUCUGGGACGGUACUGACGCUGAGACGCGAAAGCGUGGGGAGCGAACAGG
rnacentral:rRNA from 1 species